UGCAAGGAGCUAUGAUUCGAUAAACAGAAGCUGAUCAUGGAAAUUGUGGAGCGUUUGAUAGGGAUUACAUUAUAUACGUGAAAGGCUUGCUUAUGUGUUUGUGCGCGCGCGCGCGUAUGUGUGUGGUUGCCUUCUGUGCUCCUUUCUGUUGCCAAAUAAAAUAAAAGGUUGUGAACGAAAUGAAUCCAUGAUGUUCACCAGAAAAAA
rnacentral:lncRNA from 1 species